CUGCGAUGGGGGGACAGGACUCCUCCCAGCCCUCUCUUGCCGCAGCAUCCUGGGGCUGGGGCCAGGGGAGAGGCGCCUAUCCCUGCCUGCACAGCUGCACAGCUUAGAGAGAACUUAGCUGUGUGUUUGGAGUGAGUUUCUGGGUCUCAGACUGGUUCCUACUGGGGCCAGCAUCUGCCUUACAAAAUCACCGUCAUCCUAGGCACACAUUAACCCACCCUUGGUAGGCAUGCUCAGCAGAAAGGCUGAAUGGGCAACAAAGGCUGAAUUCUCUAGGGGUGGGUCUUACUAAGUCAAAGGUGAGGCACAUUGAUGGGAUUGUGUGUGUGCGCGCGCGUGCACGCGCAUGCGCGCACUCCAGUUUCUUCUGCCUAUGCUAAAUGUGUUCCAUGGCUGCCAAAGGAAUUCAGUCUCCAAGGCCCUCAGUUCAUCACCUCUUACCAGUGCUGGAUUGGUGACAGCAUGGUCUCUGACUCUUCUCCAGUUGGUACCCUCACAGGUCAGGUUCUUGCCAGCAAAUGUCUUCACUUCACCACAUUGACUUCCUGGGGGAAAUGAGGCAGCCAGCCAUUAUGGUCCCAGGGACAGGCAAUAGCAGCAUAGAGAUAGCUUUAGUGACAAAAUUCCCAGAGGAUUUUGGGUGGUUAUAUUCUUCUUCUUGUUUUGUUUUGUUUUGUGGUAGCACCCAACAGCCCUAGUCAUAGACCAGGAUCUCCUUGUGCUAGUUGCUGUACAAAUACAGAACAAAAGGACGGUCCUUCCCCUGAAGAUCUUGCAGUGUAAGUAGUCCUGUCUCCCUCUAGUAGCUGUCUAAAUACAUGCAACAUGCUCACAGUUAAAGGAAUUCUUUUUUAAUGGAGGCCUGUAUUUUUGGGGCUGAAGGUUCAGUAUUUGGUCUCUUUUGUCUACAUGUCGCCAAGGUGUGUGAGUUUUUUUUAAUGGUUUUUGUUCUGCCUGUGUAGUUGUGUGUGUCUGUACAUAAAAAACAUACGUGUAUUUAAAAAAUUUCAGUGUGCCAUUGUGUACCUCUGGGCGUCGUGAACUGCAGUGCUGAUGAAGGAGCCAGACUGGCAGCCCUGGAGACUCAAGUCCCAUCUUUAUACACAAAACAGACACAGUAUGAGCAACAUGAAUGUCAGCUUUGUCCACACUGUCCCCCAAGGCUCUGCUUUGGAGGGGCCCUCUCUAGGAAUGAGGGGGGAAAUUCACUCCUUAGGCUCAUCACUGAGAUUCCUAACAAGGGUGCCAGCAAUGUGGGUUGUUUUGUGAUGUGGGACCCAAUUCAGCCCAGAUGAAACCAGAUGCAUUGGAGUCAAUGGGAGAUAAGCCUGCUUCCACCAGAACCAUAUGAGGCUUCUCAUCUCUUUGUAUGUUUUGUAAACUCCUUAUCUAUAAUGGACAGACAGGUGCACAGCAUUAGCUGUAAUAGAUCAAACCUCUGACCCUCUUUCUGUGUAAUACAAGCCACAGACUGAUGAUAGCAGGAGAAAGGAAGAGGUGCCAGUUCUGUUUCCAGAGGGUAAGUGUUGCCAGACCUCCCAUUCCGAAUAAAGCAGAACUACAUGGACAUCAGUAAUCCCAGCUGAGGGUUUGUUGCCAGCUCUGCGUCUGCCAGAACAGGAGGGGGCAGCACAAGCUUGUGUAACAAACAAAUGAGGUUUGGUGUCUUCACAACCUAAUGUAAACAAACCUCGGGAAACGUUUUUGUGAGUGAAUUUUUUAAAAGGUGUUGAAAAGCGAUGUGUUUAAACAUUUACUUAACCAUUUCUCUGGAGCAUCGGCAAUCUAGACAACAGCAUGGAGGUGGUGCAUGAAACCUACUAAGAACAGAAAGUAACUGUCCAGUCUGGUUUCCCUUGCAAGUUAAAACUUUAUUAAUUUCCAGCCCCACUUGAUUUAGCAGGAUUUUGCAGUGGGCUAAAGAAAUUCCAUAAGCUCCAAGUUAGGCAAGGCCUGGCCCUAUAACAUCAGACUGCAGUAUUGCCAUCCCCAAGUGUUCAAAAAUAAUGAGUCAGCCCUCUAAAAAUUAUUAUAUUGUCUUAAAAAAGAAAUUUAAAAAUAUAUUCUGCGUUCUCAUUUGCCUUCUGGUUUUUGUUUUUAUGGUGCAUGCAGAUCACGUUUUCCGGCUUUUCUCUUCAACCAUGAGGGCCAGAAACUUUUGUUGUUGUUUUUAAAUGAAAGCUGAGAGUCUUGUAUAUUCACAAGACUCCAGGAAUUGGGGCUUUAAUAAAAGCUGCAUGUAGUGCAAGAUGAUAAAAUCAUGAUUGUUUGCAAGACUGGUACUGUUGAGAAUAUGGCCUCCUAUUUAGUAUUUUUUUUAAUUUAAUGGAGUAAAUUCAGUGCUUAAGAAUGGUGCUGUCUUGAUAGCCAUGGGGCCUGAUGUCCUCUAAGAGCAUAAGAACAGCCAUACUGGGUUAGGUCAAAGGUCCAUCCACUAGCCCAGUGUCCUAGUUUCUGACAGUGGCCAAUGCCACGUGCUUCAGAGGGAAUGACCAGAACAGGCAAUCACUGAGUGGUCCGUCCCCUGUUGUCCACUCCCAGCUCCUGGCAACAGAACAGAUACAGCAUGAAGAGCAAAAGGUAAGCUUCCCCCGCCCCACCCCCAGUUCUCCUUGCUGUAUCUCAGCUGGAGAAACCACCAUCCCUGGAAGUAAAAAGGAAGUUAAUCUUAAUUAUAAUAUUUAGUUAUAAUCUAGUGCUUUUCAUCCAUAAAUCUCCAAGGUCUUUACAGUGCUCAUUUUACAGAUGGAGAACCCUAGCACAGAGAGGUAAAGUAAUUUGCCCAGCAUAAAAAAAAAUCAAUCAGUGAGUCGGGAAGAACUGGGAACAGAUGUUCUGAUUCCAGGUGUUAUCUGCUGAACCACACUACCUCUUCAAGGUCUGCUUAAAUUGGUGUCUCUGCUGAGAUUGCAAGUCAAGGAGUUGUGGGGGCAAUGCCUGCGGACAGGGCAGCAUGCGGAGACCCGCUGCCCCUUCCUCCCCAGCCGAACAUGCUGGCCGUUUCCGGGAGCGCCAUGGGGCCAGGGCAGGCAGGGAGUUUGCCUUAGCUCUGCUGCAUCACUGCUUGAGAGCGUGCCUUUUCCUGAGAUAAGCCACAAAGGAUAGACUGGAAGCAGUGAAAGCUCAAGCAGAAGCCCAGAUCCCAUGAUCACAUUGACCAGACAGGAGAAAUAUCAGGAACAUCAGGUCUGCUCUUCCCUAUUUUUUCUGGAGAACCUUUGGGAGCUCAGGGAUGUUUUAUUGUGAGUCACUAGUUGGCAAGGUAGGAGUGUGUGUUCAUGUUCUUUAACAAAGGCUUCCUUUCUCCAGAUUGCUAAUUAGUCAUUGAGGUCAAGUAGGGGUUAAGAAACAAAAUGUUUUUAACAGUUUGAUUCGCCUUCCCUUUCCCUUUUUACAGAUCAGUUGUUACUCUCUUGCCUCUUGUGACGUCACCAUUUUGCUAUUUUUUCAGCAAUCAUAGAAUCUUCCAGCCUAGACAGGACCUAUAUUUCCAAUGUGAAAAACAAGCAGAAAUCCCUUUGCAGGUGACGUUUAAACAGCUACCAUGUUUUGCGGCUGCAUUUCAGUAUUGGGUGAAGUGAUUCGUACGUAUAUAAUGGACAAACCAUGGUUAACUUUAAAGCCUGCUCUAUAUACAGUAUUUUGUAUGGGUAUCUAUGUUGGUUAGGGAUGUGAUAUUUUCUUUUAACUUAACUAGUUAUACUGGUCCAGCCCAGCUAGUUUGGGCACAGUUAUACCAGUGCAAAGGUGUCUUGCACUGCUUAGGUUAUUUGCCUUCCCAUAGAGGCAUAAAGCACCCUUACACCAAUAUAAUGGUAUCCGUACUAGGGGAGAUUGUACUGCUUUAUACUGGCAUAGAUUUAGAGUGGUACACCUUUUGUUUGCAGAAAAGCCCUAAGUGAAGAGAGGAAGAAUAGUCCAGUGAUUAGGGCACUAGCUCAGGACUAGGGAGACCAACAUUCAAUUCCCUGCUCUGCCACAGACUUCCUGUGUGAUCUGGGGCAAGUCACUGGGUAUUUAUCGUGCUGUAUGAACAAUGUGAAUAGCAAGAGGAAGAAGCGACCAUAUGACUCUUUCCCUCUAGGGCCUGCAAUUCAGCAUGGCCACUUUUUGCAAGAUCCUGCAGUAAAAGGCAACCUUUCCCAGGCUUCUGUGUUCCAAAUGCAGUGGCCCUAUCACAGCAGUCUGGUGGGCAGAUGCAAAGAAAGGCAAGGAAGGGAAUGGUCACCUUCCUUUCUUCAUGCAGUUGGCAGUCUCUAGGAGGUGCAAAACUUCUCCUUGCCCCACUGGGUGCAGCUUCCUGGGGAAAGCAGUCGCUGCCAAAAUUAAGUUGAGUAACACGCUGCUGCCCAUCCCUACUGGAGUUACCAUCAAUGCCCUUAAGGCUCCAUAUCUGAUCUGGCUCAGGUCUUCUAAGCAGCGGAAGUUCCAAGCCACCAUCUGUCAAUGUUAACGCUACUCUGCCUCCCUUUCCUUCAGCUGGUGCCUUGGUGAGUGAAUAAAAGGAAUGUUGUUUGCUUUGGACUCCAUCUCUUCUCCAGGUGGAGGAAAUGUGCACUGACAAGACAGGAAAUUCUCCUGAAUCACAAGGACCUGGAACUUGGCUACUAGCUUCCUCUGGGCCUUAUCCAGAUCUCAGCCCAGAUAUUUAACAUUUAUUAAUAGUAAUAGUUAAAUUAAUAGGGGGGUUUCUAACCAUCAGGUUAUCUCCUCAUGCUGGACUGACCAGGUCACGUUGUUGUUUAAAGUGCCUGCGGCAGCCCUGAGGAUGUUGAUAGGUUGAGGCACAACCUUCCUUUCAAACAAACUGGAAGCCAGAUGGGGAUUUUGUCUGGUAGAAGAUUCUCACAGCUGGGUUUGGACAGUCCCCUGUGAGAUAUGGAAAGAGUAACUCCCGGCUGGGACAGGCUCAGCACGGCUAAGCUCAGAAUAGGGGUAUUUCUCUUGUGGCCUGCCUGUGGGUCAGAAGGUUCUCAGAAUGAUCCUUCGACUAGUGGUGAGUGGGAUGAAUGCACAUGUGCGUGUCCAGAGACACAGACACACAGAGCUAGUCUGGCACUGGAUGGAAGGCUGGUCUAUUUGCUUAGGUCCUCAUGGUGGGUGCUACCCUCUUUUGAAAAUUCUGGCCAUGGUCAGUGGCCUCAGGUUGUCGAUGGAGGAGCCAGUUAAAAGAAAGGCUGGAGGCAUGUUGGGUUUCACUAGACUGCCGAAGUAAUGUGGUUCUUUCAUUGUAUGUCGACCCAGCAAAGAAAAACCCACAGUUGGCCCAUGCUAACCAGCUCGGGCUGUGGGACUGUUUCAUUGCGGUGUAGACUUCCAGGCUUGGCCAGGAGCCUGGGUUCUAGAACGCUGCAGGAUGGGAAGGUCCCAGACUCCGAGUUGACUGGGAUGGGCCAGCCAAGGUUUUUUCUGUGCUGUGUAGGCAUAUCCUAAUACGGCUUCCCUCAUUGCCUUUUGGAAGGGAGGAAGGAGUCUUUAGGGAGGAUUCCCCCAGCCAGAAUCACUAUCUUGCUGCACUGGAAUUGGCAACCUGGUAGUAAAAGCCUUUCUAGCCCCAUCCAAUCUCCUGAGCCAUCCCAUUCUCCUCAUUUUCAAUGUCUCAGAAAUUAGUGCAUUAGUUUAAUGCUUAAAACCAGGUAUGUGUGUGUGUGAAAGAGAGAGAUUGGGGUGGGGAGAAGGACAGAUAUUGACCACUGCAGGAGGGGCCCGGGCCAUUGUCGGAGACAGGCUAUCCAAUAAGUUGGGGCAUUAGUCUGACCCCAUGUGGCAAUUCCUGCACUGCAGAUGGGUGUUGUGGAAUUUGUAUGGAGUACCUUGGUGACGUCUCAGAGCCAGCCCAGAUAUAUAUUCUGCCCAUCUCUUCUUGGGGAACGAAGGCCCCGAUCCCACAAAGGGCUGAGCUCCUCCUGCAAGAUACUGAAGCACCGUCCACUUCCAUUGCCCCAGCUGGAGUUGAGAGUGCACAGCACCUUGCAGUAUUGAGCCCUCACCGACAUCUAGGCAUUAAUCCAGGGUGCUUGGGAGAAGGUGUGUUUUGGCUAGCUGAGUGGUGGAGGGAGCGUUGGGAAAGAGCUAGAAUUGGCUGCCCAGCUUAUUGGAAGAUUAGAACCAUAAAAUGAAUUGUGUCCUGCCUAAGAAAAGAAGAGAGUGAGUAUUGGGGCUUCCCCAGAAGAUCUGACUAUCUUCACCUGGGGAAGAUUUAAAUAGGGUGUAGGCAUCAGGCUGGCCCUCUGUUGGAAAGACUUUCCAUAGAAACAGGGGCCAGUAUUCUACUUCGCUUAAUAACAGUUUAUUCUGAAGUGUGUUCUCUGUAUACAUUUGUUACUCUCUACGGUGCCACAAGUACUGCUUUUCUUUUUGCGAAUACAGACUAACACGGCUGCUACUCUGAAAUCUGUAUACAGAGUAACUUUCUUUUGGCAACAGAGCAUGUAUGGAGCUUCUCCUGUUUCUUUUCCUCUACUAUAGUCAUUCACACUUAGCCCAUUGUUCUGGGGAUUUUCCCCUUCCCUUUCCCCAAGUGUUAGAACUAAGAAUAAGCUUGUCUAGACAUUUUCCUCACUUUAGGAUGGGUGUUUGUAAUUAGAUGGAACAAUAACCAUACCUGGGAACAACCCUAACGUGACCACCCUGCUUAUGUACUACUGUUACCUCCUUGUAGAAGAGUCAAAGACUUUACCCGUAACCUGAGCAACCUAAACUAUAAAGAAAGAUCCACCAAUUCCCUUCAUGAGGUGGCUGGAACAUGGGCUUCCUUCCUUCCUUUAGGCUCCGUGAUAUGGAGUGGUGAAUCACUGCUUUGCAGAGGAGGCUGGGACUGGCAGGUCAGAGGCUUCGUUUCUCAUGAUAUGUACGAAGCUCUAUUUUGUUGAUUUCAGAGUGCAUGGGAGAGCAGCUGUGGCUGCCCCCAGAGACUGCGCUUGACACAUAACAAGGCUUCCUUUAUACUGACAUCUUAGCUGACCUUAAUUCCACUAUUAACUUGUCCUGUCAAGUUAGUAGCCCCAGGGCAUGCCGUGACUUCCCUGUGCCUCACUGACUGGGAGCUUUGCCAGGGAUUGAAUCGCCAGCAGCACAGCCUGCAGCACUUGAAUGUUCCAUAGAGGUCAAGUCUUCUCUCUGGAUAUUGAGAUCCUGAUUAGCUGGAUCCUGAUCAGCUGGUGAGAUCCACUAAGGUCCAGCCCAAGUGUGAUAAGUCUUAGGGCUAUAACAAUGACAUGGUGUAUGCUCAUGAGUUGGUGGCUAGCUUGCUAAGAUUAGGGGAGUGUAAUCAGUGGGACAACGUGACACCGGUGUGCAGUUGCACAUCUGUAUCACCACAGCCUCACUCAUAUAGUUGGUGGGUCCUCUACCACCAGCCAACUUUGGGGCUUUAUCUGUCCUGCAGAUGAGCAUGCAGGGAUGUGGGACAGGCCUGUACAAACAGGAAUUGUUCUUGACAAUUGCUACUGGUGCUUUCAGCACUUGACUCACUGUGUCUGUAUAUCCAGCAUCAGAAUUGGUCUAAAAUCAAUAAGUUAAAAUAAUUCAAUAAAGACAAGUGCAAAGUACUACACUUGGGAAGGAAAAACUUACUGCACUGUCUGCUGCCAGCAAGAUGUAUAAAGAUAGCUGAAGUGGCUCAAAACAAG